GCAGUAGUAGUCCAGCGGUAGAAUCCUAGACUUCCAUGAGGGAGACCUGGGUUCAAUUCCCAGCCAGUGCA
rnacentral:tRNA from 1 species